rnacentral:lncRNA from 1 species
CAACCGUGGGGUUUCCUCCCCAGCUCUCGUCUCCCGGCGCCCAGGGGAGAAGUCUGGACGGCGGCGGCCGUGGCGGGAGCGAGCGGCCUCGGCUCCUCCCUAGAGGUGGCGGCGCGAUCGUGGGCUGCGGGCGCCACCUCUGCUGCAUCGGUGGCUGCGCGCUCCGCUCGACUCGGGCCGGCCCCGAUCCCGCCGCGCUGCCUUCGCCUCCGCCGCCGCCGGCCGGCAGCUUUCUUCCAGCGAGACCGGCGUUCGAUCCUCCCCCCACCCCCAGCUUUACGGAUUUCCGGGGGCGAAGAAUUUUGCCUCGGUCCCUGCCAGCAUCCCUCGGCCUCUCUCCCCCUCCCCUCAGACUCCCCCACCCCGUGGGCGCGCGCGCGCGCGCGCACACACACCCUCACACACACACUCACACUCGCAGGCGCGCGUGCGCACGCCCGCGCGCCCCGAGCCGCGGAGUCUCCAGCGCCCCUCGGCAGAUCCCCUCUCCCGGGCGCGCCGCUACUCACACAGGCUUCCAGCCGCCACGGGGCGUCCUCUGUCUGCAGCAGCGGCGGCCGAGGGGACGGCGGCCGCAGCCCGGCCCGUCGCGCAGCUUCGUGCCCGGGACAGACUCCGGGAGAAGCCGAGGAGGAGGAGGACGCCGAGGCUAGGAGGAGCCGUGCCGCGCCCGGCGCCCGGCUCCGCGCGGCAGGCUGCCUUGGUUCCCCGGACCGCGGCCCCAGAAUUUUUGAAAGCAGCUUGAAUCUGAUUGGCUCCCCCAGGAUCUCAACUCCUGUUACAUUUGUGGCAUUUCUUUCUUCGGAGAGAGGGAUCUGCCAUUGCUAGCUGGCAUGCCAGGUGUUUUGCAGCCAGUGUGAGGAGAGAGAAAGAGAGAGAGAGAACGAAUAUCACGCUCAG